GAUGAACGCUGGCGGCGUGCUUAACACAUGCAAGUCGAACGGAGUUUAUCGGAAGCUUGCUUCUGAUAAACUUAGUGGCGGACGGGUGAGUAACGCGUGGGUGACCUGCCUUAUACUGGGGGAUAACACUUAGAAAUAGGUGCUAAUACCGCAUAAGCGCACAGUUCUGCAUGGAACAGUGUGAAAAACUCCGGUGGUAUAAGAUGGACCCGCGUCUGAUUAGCUUGUUGGUGAGGUAACGGCUCACCAAGGCGACGAUCAGUAGCCGGCCUGAGAGGGUGAACGGCCACAUUGGGACUGAGACACGGCCCAAACUCCUACGGGAGGCAGCAGUGGGGAAUAUUGCACAAUGGGGGAAACCCUGAUGCAGCGACGCCGCGUGAGUGAAGAAGUAUUUCGGUAUGUAAAGCUCUAUCAGCAGGGAAGAAAAUGACGGUACCUGACUAAGAAGCCCCGGCUAACUACGUG
rnacentral:rRNA from 1 species